rnacentral:rRNA from 1 species
UACGUAGGGUGCAAGCGUUGUCCGGAAUUAUUGGGCGUAAAGAGCUUGUAGGCGGUUUGUCGCGUCUGCUGUGAAAUUUCGGGGCUCAACCCCGAACUUGCAGUGGGUACGGGCAGACUAGAGUGUGGUAGGGGAGACUGGAAUUCCUGGUGUAGCGGUGAAAUACGUAGAUAUCGGGAGGAAUACCGGUGGCGAAAGCGACUCUCUGGACGGCAACUGACGCUGAGGCACGAAAGCGUGGGGAGCAAACAGG